GGCCGGUAGCCAAGCCGGUGCAGGCGCCUGCCUUAUAAGCAGGAGAUGCGCGGGUUCAAGUCCCGCUCGGCCUG
rnacentral:tRNA from 1 species